GCAGCCGCGGUAACACGUAGGAGGCAAGCGUUAUCCGGAUUUACUGGGCGUAAAGCGCGUGCAGGCGGUUCGGUAAGUUGGAUGUGAAAGCUCCUGGCUCAACUGGGAGAGGUCGUUCAAUACUACCGGACUUGAGAGCAGUAGAGGGAGGUGGAAUUCCCGGUGUAGUAGUGAAAUGCGUAGAUAUCGGGAGGAACACCAGUGGCGAAAGCGGCCUCCUGGACUGUUUCUGACGCUCAGACGCGAAAGCUAGGGGAGCGAACGGGAUUAGAGACCCCGGUAGUCCUAGCCGUAAACGAUGUGAACUUGGCGUCGGCGGGUUCAAAACCGUUGGUGCCGAAGCUAACGCGAUAAGUUCACCACCUGGGAACUACGGCCGCAGGGUUAAAACUCAAAGGAAUUGACGGGUCCCCGCACAAGCAGCGGAGCGUGUGGUUUAAUUCGAUGCUACACGAAGAACCUUACCCAGGUUUGACAUGACGACGAACGAUUGCGAAAGCAUGAGGCUCCCGCAAGGGACGUCGCCACAGGUGUUGCAUGGCUGUCGUCAGCUCGUGUCGUGAGAUGUUCGGUUAAGUCCGCCAACGAGCGCAACCCUUGCCGUAUGUUACAUGUGUCAUACGGGACCGCCGGUAUCAAGCCGGAGGAAGGUGGGGAUGACGUCAAGUCAGCAUGGCCUUUAUGCCUGGGGCUACACACACGCUACAAUGGCCGGUACAAUGGGUUGCUAAGCCGCGAGGUAGAGCCAAUCCCCAAAGCCGGCCUCAGUUCAGAUCGCAGGCUGCAACCCGCCUGCGUGAAGUCGGAGUUGCUAGUAAACGCGCGCCAGCCAUAGUGCGUUGAAUACGUUCCCGGGGAUUGUACACACCGCCCGUCAAG
rnacentral:rRNA from 1 species